GUCUAUGGCCAUGCCACCCUGAAAAGCCCAAUGUCUGUUCUCAAAAGCUAAACCAGGUUGGGCCUGGUUAGUACUUGGAUGGGAGACCACCUAGAAAGACCAGGUCCUGUAGGCA
rnacentral:rRNA from 1 species